rnacentral:rRNA from 1 species
UCAAUAAGCGGAGGAAAAGAAACUAACAAGGAUUCCCCUAGUAACUGCGAGUGAAGCGGGAAAAGCUCAAAUUUGAAAUCUGGCAGUCUUUGGCUGUCCGAGUUGUAAUCUAGAGAAGUGUUACCCGCGCUGGACCGUGUACAAGUCUCCUGGAAUGGAGCGUCAUAGAGGGUGAGAAUCCCGUCUCUGACACGGACUACCAGGGCUUUGUGGUAUGCUCUCAAAGAGUCGAGUUGUUUGGGAAUGCAGCUCAAAAUGGGUGGUAAAUUCCAUCUAAAGCUAAAUAUUGGCGAGAGACCGAUAGCGAACAAGUACCGUGAGGGAAAGAUGAAAAGAACUUUGGAAAGAGAGUUAAACAGUACGUGAAAUUGCUGAAAGGGAAACGCUUGAAGUCAGUCACAUUGACUAGGGAUCAGCCUUGCAUUGCAUGGUGUACUUUCUGGUUGAUGGGUCAGCAUCAAUUUUGACUGCUGGAAAAAGGCUUGGGGAAUGUGACAGCUCUGGCUGUGUUAUAGACCCUUGUCAUAUACAGCGGUUGGGAUUGAGGAAUUCAGCACGCCGCAAGGCCGGGUUUCGACCACGUUCGUGCUUAGGAUGCUGGCAUAAUGGCUUUAAGCGACCCGUCUUGAAACACGGACCAAGGAGUCUAACAUGCCUGCGAGUGUUUGGGUGGAAAACCCAAGCGCGUAAUGAAAGUGAAAGUUGAGAUCCCUGUCGUGGGGAGCAUCGACGCCCGGACCAGAACUUUUGGGACGGAUCUGCGGUAGAGCAUGUAUGUUGGGACCCGAAAGAUGGUGAACUAUGCCUGAAUAGGGUGAAGCCAGAGGAAACUCUGGUGGAGGCUCGUAGCGAUUCUGACGUGCAAAUCGAUCGUCAAAUUUGGGUAUAGGGGCGAAAGACUAAUCGAACCAUCUAGUAGCUGGUUCCUGC